CUUCUCUGGUUGGAAAGCUGUUAAAGUAAGAAAAUCAUGGAAGUCAAGGCUGAAGUAGACUUUAAAGAGGAGUCAGUGCUGGUGGUCUAGUGGUUAAGAUUUGGCGCUCUCACCGCCACAGCCCAGGUUCGUUUCCUGGUCAGGGAACCACACCACCCAUCUGUCGGUUGUCAUACUGUGGCGGCUGCGUGUUGCUGUGAUGCUGAAAGCUGUGCCACAGGGAUUUCAAAUACCAGCAGAGUCACCCAUGGUGGACACGUUUCAGCGAAGCUUCCUGACUAAGACAGACUGGGAAGAAGGACCUGGCCACCCACUUCUAAAAAAAUUGGCCAUAUGGAAACUCUGUGAAUAGCAGCAGAACAUUGUCUGAUACAGUGCGGGAAGGAACUUCUUUUUGUAUAUGCCAACAUUUAUUUCUCCACUCAACGCUAAACGGGUUCCUUCCAGUGAACACUUCUCUUCCCCUUCCACUGCCC
rnacentral:tRNA from 1 species